rnacentral:tRNA from 1 species
GCCGAGGUGGCGGAAUUGGCAGACGCGCUGCGUUCAGGUCGCAGUGGGAGCAAUCCCGUGCGGGUUCAAGUCCCGCCCUCGGCACCA